rnacentral:lncRNA from 1 species
UUUUUUUAACAAACCCGCUCUUCUCACAAUCUUUCUCUCCAAAAUCGACAAAUAGAAACUCCCAAAACAGUCCCCUAGAACACAAGCUUCUCUCCAAAAUCGACAAAGAAUGCAAAGAGAAAAACCCAAAUCAGUGCCCUAGAACACAAGUUUCUCUCCAAAUCUCCAAAACCGGCAAAGAAUGCAAAGAGAAACAUCCAAAACAGUGCCCUAGAAUCAGAUUUCUCUCCAAAGCUCCACCCAAUUUCUCUCCAAAUCGGAUUUCUAUUACGAAUCGGUAAGCCCUUUCUUGCUUGCUUGCUUCCAUUGUCUUAACUUUCCUCAUUUUGCUAUAUGUUUCAAUUUUCAUUUUGCUGUGUUUCGGACUAUGAAUGUAUGAAUGAAUGAGAACCUUAAAUGGUUUUGUUUGUGAGAAUUGUAGAAUUUUGGGUAUGAUUUUGACCUUCUAAAACUUCUGUGAAUGAAUGAGAACCUUAAAUAGUGAUUUAUUCUGAUUUCUAUCUAAAUUUUGGUUGAAUUAUUGUUUGUCUUUCGUUUCUCUUUCCAGAGUUGAAUGCUUAUCUUUGUUGAUAACAAUUGCCAUGUAAUUUUUCUGUAAAAUAUUCUAAAUUGUCGGUGAUGUUGAUCCCAUUAUUUAAUCUUUAAGUAUUUCUGGAAAGAUUAUAUAUAUUUAACUUGAUUUAAAAUUCUUCAUAAAAAAUGUUGGUAAGGAUAUUCUCAUAUUUUUCAUAAUUUGAGACACUUGAAAAUAUUUUUUCUUCUUUUCUGUGGUCUUCAAUGACACAAAGGAAGAUGUAGUGCAUAUCUAGAUUUUUUAUAAGGAGUAAAUGUUAUGGCUUCAUACAGAAUAUGCUAAUUAAUCCAUAACCUUUGAAGGCAAAGCUUGAGUUGCUAUGCAAAGAAAACUGGGGACAACUGUUUAAAAUAUAAUGCCUUAAAUUAAUCCAACUUUAGGAUACUUGUACUGGGUGCAUAGCAUGGUAAAGACUACUAGACUAAAUUCAGAAAACAUUCAAUACCUUAAGACAUCUGCGAUAGUUUCAUCAUCUGGGGAAACUUCAUGUGCUAGACUCAAGUCGGACACUGCUUGCUAGAUAUUUCAGAAAGGGUAUCAGAUAACAAAAAUUAGUUUCAGGAUAGAUGACUAUAAUUAACAAUGUUAAUAAUAAUAGAAUCCUCAGAGACAGUAAGAAGUAAAAUGCAUAUGAACACUCACCUCUACUUGUCCUAGUUCUUUGUAGGCUUGACCCCUUUGGUACAGAGCUUUGACAUUCUUCGCAUCAUAUGCCAAGACCUAUAGCAAUUCAGAUAUAUAAUUUAUUUUCUUUUAAACAGUGAGAGGCAAGAGAAGCAUUUAAAUUUUAUUAAAGAAAAAGUUCCCUGUUGUCACUUCACUCGCAUAAGGCAGUAUCACAUCUCUGACAUAUACAUGAAAAAAUAAAAUAAAAAGAAAAAAGAAACUAAGUUGUCAUACCUCACUACCUUCUUCUAUGCACUCAUUAUACUGCCUGAUUUUUAAAUAGCAUGACAUCAAAUUAAGAGAGCAGGCCAACUGGAGACUUCUGCCUUUGAAUGCUGGAAUGCCUCUCAGGUUCUUCUUGGCCUUAUUUAAGAAAAUGGAGAAAAAAUGAAAAUAAAUUAAAAUUAGAGUUUUGCCACUGUAGAAAAUACUACCCUUAUCAAGGAAAGAAACACUUUCAACAUAAAAGUAGAACCAAACAUAAAAGCUACACUUACAAGCAAAUACUUUUGCAAGGCAUCAUUAAACUUUCCCUGGCUGUGAAGGUCAUUACCCCGCCACAAUGUAAAUGGAUCCAUUCGAUUAAACGAUUCUGCCUCUUUACAUUCGAUUAUCUAUUAGUAGUAACAUAAUGAUUUGCUGCUUUUGCCUGUACAAAUUAUGCCCACUACUAAGUGCUAAUCAUGCAUUUGUUAUGAAAUUAUGGAAGUUUAUAUUAUAUUCUCCAUGGGUCAUUAUUUUGAUUCAAAAAUUCAUGCUCCUGGAUUGAAGUUCUGAUGAAUUUCAUUUUUCUUUAAGCAGGAAUUAAUGACAGGUUAAAUUAUUUUUCUCAGUGCCUAGUGGAGUGGGCGAGAAGGGUGAUGGGAGAUGGCCGACGGGGAUUUAGUAGAACAUUUUGUGUUUCAUAGUCAUUUUUCUUGUAAAAAGUUAGUCAUUUUUCUUGUAAAAAGUUAUUUAAAUAUCAACUUGGUUAUUUGUCCUUUCAUCAAAGAGCUGCUUCUUCGUCACAUGGGUGAUUGGGUUCAUUUGAUGGUUUCGAAUAAAAGAAGGGUUUUUGUGAGCUGUGGUGGUCCUCGCUUCAUCCUGUAUUGUUUAAAAAUAGGUUGGCUUGGGUGUUGUUAGUUAGUGCAGGGAGUGGUGACUGAGCUUCUAUGUAUUUAUUAUUUUUGGUUGCUUUCCUAUAGUUUGAAUGAUUGCUCAUCCUUUCCUUGUCCCAUUUGUGUGACAUUUCUAUCAUAUACAACUACAGUUCAGGUUGUUAGUCCACCAGAAUUUGCAAAGAGAAAAUGGGAGUGACUUGUAUUAAUUUGUAUUUGUCAAUUUUAUUGCUUAUGUUUAUCUUGUUUAAAAAGUUCGGAUAUGUUUGACAGAUUUUGAAGCAUUUGUAGUUGGGAUAAAUCUUGAUAUUGAAUUGAAUCCA